GACGAACCGAGCGAACGUUAUUCGGAAUCACUGGGCUUAAAGGGCGCGUAGGCGGGCGGCCAAGUCAGGGGUGAAAGCCCCCAGCUCAACUGGGGAAGUGCCUCUGAUACUGGCCAUCUCGAGGGAGGUAGGGGCGUGCGGAACUUCCGGUGGAGCGGUGAAAUGCGUAGAUAUCGGAAGGAACACCGGUGGCGAAAGCGGCGCGCUGGACCUCUUCUGACGCUGAGGCGCGAAAGCCAGGGGAGCAAACGGG
rnacentral:rRNA from 1 species